UACCCCUGACAGUGUCUCAGAGAGUGGCU
rnacentral:piRNA from 1 species